rnacentral:rRNA from 1 species
UACGAAGGGGGCGAGCGUUGUUCGGAGUUACUGGGCGUAAAGGGCGCGUAGGCGGCGAUCCAAGUUAGGCGUGAAAGCCCCGGGCUCAACCUGGGAAUUGCAUUCGAGACUGAAUAGCUAGGGUACGGUAGAGGGAAGUGGAAUUUCCGGUGUAGCGGUGAAAUGCGUAGAUAUCGGAAGGAACAUCAGUGGCGAAAGCGACUUCCUGGACCAGUACCGACGUUCAGGCACGAAAGCGUGGGGAGCAAACAGG